GAGGACUGCCUACGGGCUCUGCCAUAGGCGGUGCAAGAGGACGGGGCGCGGCGGGGGACACGGCGGCCGCCGCGGGGCUUGAUCCGACGACGACGGCGGCGGCGGCUGCGGCGGCGACGGUCCUCUUCCUCCUCCCUUACACCAUUGCUCCUCCUUUUCUUCCUUUCUCUUUCCUUUCCAGCCGGGCCUCGACCACUUCCUCUAACAGCGGCCCCGAUCCUAUGUAAAGGCAUGACUUCCCGGCACCGCAGGGAAAACGGGGUGCAAACCCAGAAAUUAUUUUCCCACCACCACUUGUUGAAAAACUGAUUUGAACGCGUCUGAGGGUUUGAACUAACAGCAAGUGCCAGGAUUUGAUGAGUCUCUGGUUUUGCACUGGAGACCCUUCACUAAGUAUCAAGAAAAAAACUGGAAACUAAUCCGGUAAACAUUUAAACUUGAAAACUUCUGUUUAAGCUUUGUUUUGUUCUAGUAAAUUAUUUGCUGCUUCUGUUUUGUUAGCUAGGAAGUUCCUGCUCUGAACUUUUUAACUUCCUCAUUUGUUUAAAAUAUCUUUGUCUUUUAUUGAAAACACUUUCGUUCUCUGGAUAUGUAAACUGGUAUCUACUCCUCUCAUGGGUAGAUAUUCCCUCUGCAGUUAACAUGAACAGACUUUAUGCACGUUACAAGACGUUGGAAAGUAUAGGCCUUUCCCAUUAGCAGAAGUGAUUGAGCUUUUAUCCUACAAAAAAUUACAUAUUUAUUGUCUCAAAGUUUGAAAUUCAAAUAUUUAAGCAUAAAAGACUUUUCUCAUAGAAAGUAAAACUUAAGCGUUACUGGAUGCAGAUAGCUAAUGUUUGUCAUAACCACCUUAGAGCCAUUAGUCAUAAUCAGGACUGGCUUAUUACAGGAGUAUAAGGUGUAUACCAUUAACUUUAAGUGCAACCAUCUGUAAUGAUAAUUCACUACUAGGGAGGAAUCAUAGAUGUUUUCUCUGCCAUUGCAAAUUUAUAGACUAACACAAUAUCUGGUAAAUGGGAGCCAUUCACCAAAAGAAAUUGUAAUGGAAUAAACAGAAUUCUAACCUAUUAAAAUUUCA
rnacentral:lncRNA from 1 species